rnacentral:rRNA from 1 species
CCCAGACUCCUACGGGAGGCAGCAGUGGGGGAUAUUGCACAAUGGGGGAAACCCUGAUGCAGCGACGCCGCGUGGGUGAAGAAGUAUUUCGGUAUGUAAAGCCCUAUCAGCAGGGAAGAAAGAAGACGGUACCUGACUAAGAAGCCCCGGCUAACUACGUGCCAGCAGCCGCGGUAAUACGUAGGGGGCGAGCGUUAUCCGGAUUCACUGGGUGUAAAGGGAGCGUAGACGGCCGUGCAAGCCAGGAGUGAAAGCCCGGGGCCCAACCCCGGGACUGCUCUUGGAACUGUGCGGCUGGAGUGCGGGAGGGGCAGGCGGAAUUCCUGGUGUAGCGGUGAAAUGCGUAGAUAUAAGGAGGAACACCGGCGGCGAAGGCGGCCUGCUGGACCGCGACUGACGUUGAGGCUCGAAAGCGUGGGGAGCGAACAGGAUUAGAUACCCCUGUAUUG